UGCAUUGAUGAAAACUUUCAGUAGGAAGUGCCAUCAGAUGUGACAAGUGACAAUCUAAUCUACAGUGUUU